rnacentral:misc_RNA from 1 species
GUAGAUGCUCAUUCCAUCUCUUAUGUUCGCCUUAGUGCCUCAUAAACUCCGGAAUGACGCAGAGCCGUUUACGGUGCUUAUCGUCCACUGACAGAUGUCGCUUAUGCCUCA